rnacentral:rRNA from 1 species
CCGGAGGAAGGUGGGGAGUGACGUCAGUCAGCAUGGCCUUUAUAUCCUGGGCUACACACACGCUACAAUGGGAAGGGACAAUAGGUUGCGAAGCCGCGAGGCGGAGCCAAUCCAGCAAAACUUCCCUCAGUUCAGAUUGCAGGCUGCAACUCGCCUGCAUGAAGUUGGAGUUGCUAGUAAACGCAGGUCAGCCAUACUGCGGUGAAUACGUUCCCGGGCCUU